UACGAAGGGGGCUAGCGUUGUUCGGAAUUACUGGGCGUAAAGCGCGCGCAGGCGGUUCUUCAAGUCAGUGGUGAAAGCCCGGAGCUCAACUCCGGAACUGCCAUUGAAACUGUAGAACUUUGAGGAUGAGAGAGGUGAGUGGAAUUCCCAGUGUAGAGGUGAAAUUCGUAGAUAUUGGGAAGAACACCGGUGGCGAAGGCGGCUCACUGGCUCAUUUCUGACGCUCAGGCGCGACAGCGUGGGGAUCAAACAGG
rnacentral:rRNA from 1 species